UACAGAGGGUGCAAGCGUUGUUCGGAAUUAUUGGGCGUAAAGCGCGUGUAGGCGGCUUUGUAUGUCGGGUGUGAAAGCCCUCGGCUUAACCGAGGAAGUGCGCCCGAAACUGCAGAGCUUGAGUGCCGGAGAGGAGAGCGGAACACCCGGUGUAGCGGUGAAAUGCGUAGAUAUCGGGAGGAACACCUGUGGCGAAAGCGGCUCACUGGACCACACGUGACGCUGAUGCACGAAAGCUAGGGGAGCAAACAGG
rnacentral:rRNA from 1 species